rnacentral:rRNA from 1 species
AUGAAAUCGAAAAUAUUCCGAGAUGGCAAAUAUUCGGAGAUGACUAUGAAAACACCUCUCUGGAUCCUCGAAUUGAAAGAGAUCACCAAGAGAACUGUUUUUAUGAAAGAAAACAAAAAGAACUGUUUUUAUGUAACAGUUCAUCAGGCAAACACAUGUUGA